ensembl:lncRNA
GGGGACCGGGGACAGUGGGGAAGCGAGGGCUGAAGGGGCCUAAGGGCGAGCAGGGCCCCCGGGACUGGACCAGCCCUGUCCUGUGGGUUGUAACGGACCCAAAGGCCUCUCAGAUGGGGCCGCUCUCUCUGAUCCUUCCCCUCCUCUUCCUCCUACGGCCCCGGGCGCCCCCGGGGGGCCCUGUCCUGUGGGCCAAGAUGGACUACCAAUACAAGGUUGCUGGCACAAGGGGCAUAUUUGAUAACUAACCAGCAGCAUGGCCUCUGUACAUAUUGAUAUGGUAUAUAUUGAAUACUACAGCAAACGCCCCCUCGUCAUCGUUUUUUAAAGCCUUUUUAUAUAAUAUAUAGAGAUUUCUAACAUGGACCUUUUUGUGGCUCGACGGAUGUUAAUGACUUUUGCCCAAGUCAUGAGUUCUUCAGAUGAAGUUUUUGAGAUCCAGCAGUGCUGGCAAUCCCGCCGAGACAUGAACGAGAGGCGACAGAGGACUCCACACACAGAAGGACUUUGUCUUGCAAAGCAAGGACAGACUGGGGAUCCAGCGGCCUUACUAACACUCUGGGGAAUCUCACCCCCGGCCUGGCCUGAUUGGGAAUGCUGCAUGGCAGUGACAAUGUGGGCUCCCUUAGCCUCACAGAUAACCAUUGGGUUGGAUGGACAGAUUCCCCUAGUGUGGUUUAUAGAAGAAUGUCUGGAUCAGUACUCUCCACCUUCUCUCUCUCUCUCUCUCUCUCUCUCUCUCUCUCUCUCUCUCU